rnacentral:rRNA from 1 species
AUCUGGUUGAUCCUGCCAGAGGCGACCGCUAUUGGAGUUCGAUUAAGCCAUGCGAGUAGAAAGAAAUUAGAUUCUUUGCAUACUGCUCAGUAACACGUGGAUAACCUGCCCUACACUGGGGGAUAAUCUCGGGAAACUGAGGAUAAUACCCCAUAGACCACUACGCCUGGAACGGUGAGUGGUUGAAAGCUCAGGCGGUGUAGGAUGGGUCUGCGGCGUAUCAGGUCGUAGGGGGUGUAAUGGACCUCCUAGCCAUCGACGCGUACGGGUUGUGGGAGCAAUAGCCCGGAGGCGGAUUCUGAGACACGAAUCCGGACCCUACGGGGUGCAGCAGGCGCGAAAACUUCACACUGCAGGAAACUGUGAUGAGGGAACUCCAAGUGACUGCACAAUGUGUAGCCUUUCCUUGAAUUUUAAUAGUUCUUGGAAUAAGGGCUGGGAAAGACCGGUGCCAGCCGCCGCGGUAAUACCGGCAGCUCGAGUGGUCGUCGCUUUUAUUGGGCCUAAAACGUCCGUAGCCUGUUUGGUAAAUCUGUGGGUAAAUCAACGAGCUCAACUCGUUGAAUUCUGCAGAGACUGCCAGACUAGGGACCGGGAGAGGUAUGAGGUACUCUGGG